GUGCUCACUUCAGCAGCACAUAUACUAAAACUGGAACAAUACGGAGAAGAUUAGCAUGGCCCCCGCACAAGGAUGAUACGCAAAUUCGUGAAGUGUUCCAUAUUUCU
rnacentral:snRNA from 1 species